UAGAUAUAUUUAAUUAAGAUUUUAAUUAUUUAUUUUUUGAUGGAAGGUUUUUUGUUUUUAGUAAUUAGUUGAGGUAAUAAGUUUUUUGAUAAUUUAUAGUACUGUGAGGGGUUAAUUAAUUUAAUUUAAAAGUAGGAGUGUUCUGUACCUUUUGCAUCAGGGUUUAUUAAUUUUUUUAAUUAUUUAAUUUUCCCGAAAUUGAAGGAGAUACCUUUUUGUGGCGUUUUAUGUGGUAAAAUGAUCGUUAAUGAAAAGGUAGAGGUGAUAUGCUAUUCAACUUUAAAUAUCUGGUUCUCUAAGAAUUGUAUUUAAUACAGAAUAUCAUUGUAAUUAAUUAAUUGAAUUUUUAUUAUUAUGAUAUUUUACACUUUAAGGGAUAAGCUUUAAAGGGGGUUUAUAAUAAAAUAAGUACGGGGUUAUAGUAGGUUUAGUACCGGCCAUUUAAUUCGUUAUAGUUGUAACUUUCUUUGUUUUUAUUUAGUAUUUAUUUAAUUGGUUAUUGGGGAGUUGGUUUUAAUUAUUAAUUUUAAGCUAUAAUGAUAUAAUUAGUAGCUAAGUUGGUUAUAAUUUAGGAAUUCGGCAAGAUUGCUUUUCACCUGUUUAACAAAAACAUGUCUUAUUGAUUUUAUUUUAAGUCUGGCCUGCCCAAUGAUUUUUAAUGGCCGCAGUAUUCUGACUGUGCAAAGGUAGCAUAAUCAAUUGUCUUUUAAUUGAAGGCUAGAAUGAAUGGUUGGAUGAAAGAGCAGCUUUCUUGUUUAUAGUCAGUGAAUUUAAUUUUUAAGUUAAAAAGCUUAAAUAUAAUUGUGGGACGAGAAGACCCUGUAGAGUUUUAUAAAUCAAUUAAUUUAUUUUGUUAAGAUGUUUAUUAUUAUAAAUUUGUUGAGUUAGUUGGUUGGGGUGACAGAUUGAUUUAAUUAACUCAUUCUUUGUUUAUUUCAUUAAUUGGUGUGUUUUUGAUCCUGAAAUUUGGAUUAUAAGAUAUAACUACCUUAGGGAUAACAGCGUAAUUUCUUUGGAGAGUUCUUAUCGAUGAAGAAGUUUGCGACCUCGAUGUUGGAUUAAAGUAGGUAAUGGGUGCAGUUGCUUAUUAACCGGGUCUGUUCGACCUUUAAAUCUUUACAUGAUCUGAGUUCAGACCGGCGUGAGCCAGGUUGGUUUCUAUCUACAAUAAGUUUGAUAUUAUAGUACGAAAGGACCUAAUAUUAGGAAUAAUUCUUAUUUAAUGAAUAUUAUU
rnacentral:rRNA from 1 species